GAGGGACGAAGGUCGGAGUCGGUCGGUGAUCAGUGGCUCGUCGGAAGAUGGUGGGGACACACUUGAGGAAUUAUGGAGUCCACCCCCUUGGCAGGAGCAUCUUUUGCAGAGCCUCUAGGAACUUUGCUGUGCUGACUCCCACCAGUAACAUCUACUGCCGGCGGACCUGAGACAGCUGUCGAAGAAGGGUGCCCGGGUAAAGUGGACACCUUGAUUCGUAAUGUAUCCGAACGGGAGGUUAGUAUUCCAAUUCUGAACUUUGAUUCAACACUGUACUGUUAUUGGAGGUUGCUAGUUUAUGCAGGUUCAUCACAGGAAGUUGGAUGGAGGAGAGCUUAGGAAGAUAUGGUGCAUGCAUGACUGGUGGGAUACAGAGUAUGACCAAUAUCGGAAUGUCUAAUGCAAUACUGUCGAGGGAGUUCACAUGAUAUGGUAGUAAGUACCUUAGCGUGACACUGACGGUGAGUAUGAUAUGAUUGAGGGGUAAUGAGUAAUACGAACCAUCUAUUGACACCCCUCCAGAGGUUAUGAUUCGUCAAGUGGCAGAUAUAUGGGUUUUGGCAUGAACAAUAAAUAUAGAGUAACUAUGGUAUAAUGAGAUAUUAGAGU